rnacentral:rRNA from 1 species
GGGAUUGCCCCAGUAACGGCGAGUGAAGCGGCAACAGCUCAAAUUUGAAAUCUGGCCCCCAGGGCCCGAGUUGUAAUUUGCAGAGGAUGCUUUUGGCGCGGUGCCUUCCGAGUUCCCUGGAACGGGACGCCAUAGAGGGUGAGAGCCCCGUCUGGUCGGACACCAAGCCAGUGUAAAGCUCCUUCGACGAGUCGAGUAGUUUGGGAAUGCUGCUCUAAAUGGGAGGUAUAUGUCUUCUAAAGCUAAAUACCGGCCAGAGACCGAUAGCGCACAAGUAGAGUGAUCGAAAGAUGAAAAGCACUUUGAAAAGAGGGUUAAACAGUACGUGAAAUUGUUGAAAGGGAAGCGUUUAUGACCAGACUUGGGCCCGGUGAAUCAUCCAGCGUUCUCGCUGGUGCACUUUGCCGGGCUCAGGCCAGCAUCAGUUCGUCGCGGGGGAUAAAAGCUUCGGGAACGUGGCUCCCUCGGGAGUGUUAUAGCCCGUUGCAUAAUACCCUGCGGUGGACUGAGGUUCGCGCUCCGCAAGGAUGCUGGCGUAAUGGUCAUCAGCGA